UUAAUUGAAGAGUUUGAUCAUGGCUCAGAUUGAACGCUGGCGGCAGGCUUAACACAUGCAAGUCGAGCGGUAGCACAAGGGAGCUUGCUCCCUGGGUGACGAGCGGCGGACGGGUGAGUAAUGUCUGGGAAACUGCCUGAUGGAGGGGGAUAACUACUGGAAACGGUAGCUAAUACCGCAUAACGUCGCAAGACCAAAGAGGGGGACCUUCGGGCCUCUUGCCAUCAGAUGUGCCCAGAUGGGAUUAGCUAGUAGGUGGGGUAAUGGCUCACCUAGGCGACGAUCCCUAGCUGGUCUGAGAGGAUGACCAGCCACACUGGAACUGAGACACGGUCCAGACUCCUACGGGAGGCAGCAGUGGGGAAUAUUGCACAAUGGGCGCAAGCCUGAUGCAGCCAUGCCGCGUGUGUGAAGAAGGCCUUCGGGUUGUAAAGCACUUUCAGCGAGGAGGAAGGUGGUGAACUUAAUACG
rnacentral:rRNA from 1 species